rnacentral:tRNA from 2 species
UCAAAGAGAGGAGAUUCUAACUCCUACCUCUGACUCCCAAAGCCAGAAUUCUAAACUAAACUACUCUUUG